rnacentral:rRNA from 1 species
UACGAAGGGUGCAAGCGUUAUCCGGACUCACUGGGUUUAAAGGGUGCGUAGGUGGGCUGGUAAGUCAGUGGUGAAAUCUCCAGGCUUAACUUGGAAACUGCCAUUGAUACUAUUAGUCUUGAAUACCGUGGAGGUCAGCGGAAUAUGUCAUGUAGCGGUGAAAUGCUUAGAGUAUGACAUAGAACACCAAUUGCGAAGGCAGCUGGCUACACGAAUAUUGACACUGAUGCACGAAAGCGUGGGGAUCAACAGG